UACGUAGGGUGCGAGCGUUGUCCGGAAUUAUUGGGCGUAAAGAGCUUGUAGGCGGUUGUCGCGUCUGCUGUGAAAUCGGGCUCAACCCGGAUUUGCAGUGGUACGGGCAGACUAGAGUGUGGUAGGGGGAGACUGGAAUUCUGGUGUAGCGGUGAAAAAUGCGCAGAUAUCAGGAGGACACCGAUUGCGAAAAGGCAGCUCGCUGGGGACGUAAAACUGACGCUGAGACGCGAAAAGCGUGGGGAGCAAAACAGG
rnacentral:rRNA from 1 species